UACGGAGAGGGCAAGCGUUGUUCGGAUUUAUUGGGCGUAAAGCGCGUGUAGGCGGCGCGGUCAGUCGGAUGUUAAAGACCCACGGCUCACCCGGGGGAAUGCGUCCGAUACUGCCGUGCUGGAGUGCGAGAGAGGAAAGUGGAAUUCCUGGUGUAGCGGUGAAAUGCGUAGAUAUCAGGAGGAACACCUGUGGCGAAGGCGGCUUUCUGGCUCGUAACUGACGCUGAGACGCGAAAGCGUGGGGAGCGAACGGG
rnacentral:rRNA from 1 species